GCUAGCGUUGUUCGGAUUUACUGGGCGUAAAGCGCUCGUAGGCGGUUCGUUAAGUCGGGGGUGAAAUCCUGGAGCUCAACUCCAGAACUGCCUUCGAUACUGGCGAUCUUGAGUCCGGAAGAGGUGAGUGGAACUCCUAGUGUAGAGGUGGAAUUCGUAGAUAUUAGGAAGAACACCAGUGGCGAAGGCGGCUCACUGGUCCGGAACUGACGCUGAGGAGCGAAAGCGUGGGGAGCAAACAGG
rnacentral:rRNA from 1 species